rnacentral:snRNA from 1 species
GGAUGUGAGGGCGAUCGGGCUGCGACAGCUGCCACCCCAUGGAUCACCAGGAUGGCAUCGGCCGACUGGCUGGCCAGGCGGGUGUCCCCUUCCUCCCUCACCGCUCCAUGUGUGUCCCUCCUGAAGCUCCCUCGAAGAGGACAACCACCCCAGAUAGAGGAGGGCCCUUUCCUCGGUCAAAGUUAUAUGAGUAGCUGAGCUCCCCUACUAAAAGCUCCAAACUAACUCUCAAGAAUGCAGCAUAUAAGAUUCUUCCUAGUUUUAAUUAAAAAUGGUAGGAAACCACUGAGGGGAAAAGAAAAAAGAAAACCUUU